UGAAACCGUUAGAAGUGUGAAGUCAAUUUCACGAGUGAAAUUCUAACGGCCGGUGACGUCGAUUAAGCUAGCGCUACUCAUUGCAACGCCAAAGACAAAAUCUUUUCAUGGGAAAUGUAGUCAAAGCUGUAACAAUGACGAAGCUCAGUGACGUUUAUGCUGGUUGUCAAAAUUAGGUGAUGAUUUCUGUGUGUGCUGCGUGUGCUGAACAUAGUUACAUGCCCCGGAAAAAAAUGAAAUGCACUCAUGAAGAUUUCUUGACUGUAGUUUCUUCGUGGCGCCAUGUUGCUAGCAUUUUGAUGCUUCUGGAGAGCCUUGCACUUUGUUGCUUUGGUUAGGUUCUUUUGUGUGCUCUUUGAUGAGUGGCAGAGGAGUCCGUCCAAGGAUGGCGAGCCCCAAAACCGAGCGACUAACAACUGCCGCGGACGGACUGUGAGCUGCGGGAAGUGCCUGAGCGCUGGCAAAGUCACUGAUGAAGCAGAGAGGGAGAAGGCCUGACAGCUCAGCUGGUUUCAGUGUCAUAGUGAAAGUGCAAGGCAAACUGCAGAAAGACGUCUCAUCAGUGCCGCCUCUGCCUCUGCUGGGGCACCAAGCCGUCACGAAGACAUCUCUGUUUCUCUUUGUCUUGACACAUUGUUGUGAAUAACUCAAAAACACAUGAUAGAGAUGUCGUACGUGCACCACAGGGCUCCCCUCGCUACAGAGCAGGUGAUGUGAAUUACUGUUUUGUUUUUUUUUUGUUUUUUUUCUUGAUAUCUUGUGCUUUGCUCGGAGAUAUGAAGGUUUUGUUUGUACUUUGACUUCCACUUAAAAAAGUGAAAUCAUCAAACAGCUGUUGAAAAGUUCUAAAAGUGUUUCAGGGCAAAUACUCACACCACAUACCUGUGAAAUAAAUGAAUACACAUCACAAAUGAUCAUAAAUUGCCUAAUUACACAUCACACUAUUCUAAUCUACGAUUGCCAAACACAUUCCACUGUUAAUGUGACGACUUGUUCCUCCACACGCUACAUUUCUACUGAUGUAUCAAGUGACCUGACAAACUGAGGCUUUCAUUAAUGCAACUGUG